CUCUUAACGUUAAACGUUAACAAAUAAAUAAACCCAAUAAUUAAACCCAAAAAAUUAAACAAUCUUUUUUUAAAUAAAUAUAUUUAAUAAACAAAAUUACCCAUCAGAUCCCAUCUUCCUUUGAAACCCCUAAAAUCUCUCCUAGAAAAACUCUAACAACCAGUCCAUCUAAAAAUAUCUUCAUGAAACGAAUAGAUAGGAAAAUUGAAUUCCCUCUCCCUAAUAUCAAUUCAUACGUGCCUAUCUAUCAGAGAACUAAAGCUUCCUCCUUCUAGCCAUGGAAAACGUCCACCUCGCUCUCAGAAACAAUAUUCUAAAACUUUUACCCAUAUUUCAUAAUUUGGCAUAGCUUUAAUUUUACUAAUUAUUAUCCUUUUUGUCCCAUAUGUAAUUACCUUUCUAUGUGUUUUGCUUUUAAUUAUUUGUUUUCUUUUCUCAAUCUAUUAUAUAAAUAUAUCAAUAAUUAUCAAUAAUCAGAUAAGCGCCUCCAGUUCUUGCGCGACACGAUUUCGUCAUUCUUGAUCAACAUAUACCCAUACCAAAUUAAAUAUUUGCUCUCUUCUUGUAAGUUUAUCUCAUAUUCAUUCAUAUGAUUCAAAUCGAGACAUUGAUUUAUUAAUUUAUGUUUUGGAUUUGGGAGGUUCUAAUUUGAUCCAAAUGUUAGUUUUGAUGAGUGUGUUUUGCAGAUUGAGCAGUCAAACCUCAAGAAUUCUAUCAAAUGGCUUCAAGUUUAGAGCUCUUCAUAUCAUGUGAGUUAUUCAUUUGUUCAUUCUUGUAAGUUUAUCUAAUUAUACGUUCUCGUGAAAGAAUUUCAAAUUCAACACUAGGAAAUAUAUGUAUUAAUAUUCUGCUCAAUUUUUUUUGUAUUUAUUUUUUUAGAAAAUUUAAUUUAUUAACAUCCCUAUAAACCCCUAAUACAAAUUAUAAUUAAUUAUGUUGUUAUUAAUUAGUAAAUAAUAUCGUUUAUCAAAAUUUUGGUGAAAUUGAAUUCAUAUAACAAUUUAUACGAGGCUUGCAGUCCUUUUCUUACUUUAGUGAAUUGUGGUUAUUGUGUACCAAUUACUUGUUAGAAGUGAGGAGUGGAUAACAUUUAAAUACUUUUCUUAUGUUCAUUAUUCCUCUUUCAUAUAGGACCUUACUCUUGGCUUAGGGAAUCAACAACAGGUUUGUGAAUUUGUCUUCAUAAAAUUACAUUGUUUUUCAUUUGAUGACUCCCUUUUGCGCUUUUUUUGAUAACCAGAUCCUAUAUAGAAUUUGACUUAUAUUUGGUGUUUUACAUCAAUGUAAUUUGAUGCAGUGCCAUACAACAUGUAUUUAAAGUUCAUAUUUUUUUUUUCCUUUUUUGUUAAACAUAUAAAGAUACUAUUAAGAACAAAAUUAAGAAGUUUACUGAAUUUUAUAUUAUUUGAAGCUUAAAAUUUUGUGCUUGUUUUGUAUAGUAACAGGAACAGUUGAAGACAUUAAAGUCAGAACGUAGAAAGGUUCAAUUGGGCAAUAAUACUGUUGAUAUUUAAAUAUUGUUUUUUCUUUUCACUUUCCUUAGUGUAAAAUUGAAUGUUCAUUGUAAUCAAAAUACUUUACAAGUGAAAAAAUAUAUCGCCCCACAAGUUAUCUUGUGUAAAUUGUAAACUAAUAUAUUUUACAUCUUAUAUAUGUAUUUAGGAAGGUAAUUGGUGGAAUGAGAGGAAUGACUGGACUGCUAUGGGACACCUCAUUAUUUGACCCAGAAGGGUAUACACUUGAAAUUCUGGGUUAGAAUAUUACAUAUUUACUUUGGUUUUGGUGCAAUCAGAGUUUAUAGUUAUGUUUGCCUAUCUUCAUUAUGUAUGUUUCUGUUGGGUGUCCAUUUUAGAGGCCUAUCUAUUCCUGAAUGUCGAAGAAUUUUACAUGUUGUUAAGUGUGAUGGAGAACCACUGUCUGAGGAUCUUCUCUGGCUCCUUUUAACAUGAAAGGCAAGGGUGUUUGGAUCUUGCUGAAUUCAUUACUAGAAUGUGGUUAUCAACAAACAUGAGAAGUUGAUUCAAGGGUGGAGAAAAGAAUUGAAAGACCAACUAGACAAACAGUACCUAACUGAAUUGGGAGAGAGUAUUUUGAUAAGCAAAUCAGUUUUUCUUUGUUGACAAUCUUGUUUCAUGUAUUGUGAUAACAGCUGAAUUAAAAUUAGACACAGAAACAUUAGCUUUUGCUCUCUAUUAAUUGGACUUUGUUGCUUAGGGAAACCUAAGGAAUUAACAAUUCAUGAAAGAAAUUCUGAAGUUCGAUUAUGUGUGAGUGACAGUACAAUUCAUGAGAGCAUACUUUUUCUUUAUUUCCAGGGGAAAGAAAGGACCGAAGGAGAGCCUUCUUGUGUUGUGUCGAAAAACUUGGCCUAAAAACCAUGCAUCUAUCUUUAAAUUAUAGUGCUAAUUUUUAUUGUUUCUUUAAA